GAGGGAUCAUUACACAAAUAUGAAGGCGGGCUGGAACCUCUCGGGGGUUACAGCCUUGCUGAAUUAUUCACCCUUGUCUUUUGCGUACUUCUUGUUUCCUUGGUGGGUUCGCCCACCACUAGGACAAACAUAAACCUUUUGUAAUUGCAAUCAGCGUCAGUAACAAAUUAAUAAUUACAACUUUCAACAACGGAUCUCUUGGUUCUGGCAUCGAUGAAGAACGCAGCGAAAUGCGAUAAGUAGUGUGAAUUGCAGAAUUCAGUGAAUCAUCGAAUCUUUGAACGCACAUUGCGCCCUUUGGUAUUCCAAAGGGCAUGCCUGUUCGAGCGUCAUUUGUACCCUCAAGCUUUGCUUGGUGUUGGGCGUCUUGUCUCUAGCUUUGCUGGAGACUCGCCUUAAAGUAAUUGGCAGCCGGCCUACUGGUUUCGGAGCGCAGCACAAGUCGCACUCUCUAUCAGCAAAGGUCUAGCAUCCAUUAAGCCUUUUUUUCAACUUUUGACCUCGGAUCAGGUAGGGAUACCCGCUGAACUUAAGCAUAUCAUAGGGGGGGGG
rnacentral:misc_RNA from 1 species